GCGGUAAUGUGUCCCUUGUUGGAUGAAUGCCAUAAAGUACAGACCAUCUCGUACCGCUAGUAAACUGAGACGCUUGGUAGAGAUGAUGAACUCAACACAUGAACUACAGGUCAAAUUGUUAGAUAUUGCUUUAUUUCUCUUGUCUAAAAUAAUAAUAUAAAAUAGGAAGCAAGCGUAAAUUUCAUUUCACAGUAAUAAAAAAACAAGUGUAACCCAAAAUAAUGGCAGCUAAAUUUAGAUUUAAAAUAAUUGUUGUAACUCGUUUUCGGUGUUCAGGAGGAUUGACCAGCUGCUGACGGUAAACAUCAACAGUUAUCACGUGUGUUGGGCCGAUAAAACUACCAGGGGAUUAAGGCAUUGAAUAGGAGAGGGGAAGAUAAAGGACCCAAACUUUGGAAAAUAAUGUGUUCCUGUACGUGGCAGCUCACUGAGACGCCAACAUUAUCUUGAAGCAUGAAGAGCCUGGCGUCAAGACACUGGUAUCUUGAUGUACAUAUGGCUGAAUGGAGCACAAAGGGAUUCACUGACCUGUUUGGGUGGAAGAGCGAGGCACGUCUAAGGACGAACGGCUCGCGUCUCGCACUGAAGUAGGCCUACA